UCAUGUUUUAACAGAGUUAUUUCUGUAAGAUUACUACUUUGGAGUUUGUUAUACACCAGAGUUCAUCAUUUUUAUUAGCCUCCAGCAAACUUUGUUACAGUUGUAAAGGUUACUCAUCUGUAAGAGAUUAAAAUAACUGCAAAACCACUAAGCUGAUCACAGAACUGAACGGCCGAACAAAUGAACAAACACACGCACACACAUUUAUUUACCCGCAACAGUUGAUUGAAGUUGUUGUACACCUCAAGGUCGGCGGAAAUAUAUCUGUCAGGAUUGACUAACAAGGCCAACACUUCUGUGUAGAGCUGAGAUAUCAGGGCUGAACAUGAUGUAUGAUGUUCUGUGCAUGUAUGAUAUAACAGAAAGUAGAUUCUUGGUGCUAAAUGAUCAGGUAUCCGCUGAUGAAAGAAAUUCAAUUCUCUACUCUACGCUGAACAAAUAAAUAAAAAUUGAAUAGAUAAAUGUCAAGGAUCACUUAUUCCAGAAGUCUUCAAAAGCACAAAGGAAGUAAAUUGUUGCCAGGGAGAAAAAUUACAGCAAUACCACUGCUUGUAGUUCAGUGAUUUUCAGAGAGACGCAAAUAUAACCAAACAUGAACCCACACACAAACAUACAUGUGUAUAACAGGAAUGCACUUAGAAUCGGUCAUAAUUUUUGUUUACUCCAGCAAAUCUCUUGUUUCUUUCCUCUGAACAGAAACUCUGAAUUAUUGAACUAAUUAAAAAAUAGUGUUGUGAGCCAUUUUUCUUUGUCGGAGCAAUAGCGAACAGCGAAAAAUCCUCAGUCCUUUAUUGGUUCUAAGAUUCACACCUUUACCAUUUCUGACUGCUUGUUCCAGUGCCACAACCAAGAACACUGAUUUUUUUUUCAAUUAUUUGCCAUCAAAUGGACUUUGUUCAGUGUUUUGAGCAAGCGUUUCACUUUGUGCACAACACCAAAACAAAAGCAGUUUCGUCUCUAUCAUAUAUUUGAUCAGAAUUUUCUUCUUCUUUGAUGCAACAAACCAAGCCAGUUCCUGAACAAAAUAUUCUGCUUCUAAGCCUGCACUCCUCUUUUCCAUCUGAUACACUGUGCAGUGAAAUUUUUAUGUCUACUUCUAAAUUUGUGCAACCUUCCAUGCAAAUAUUCACACUAAACAUUUUUUGGCCUGUUCAACGAUAAUGCUGCUAGAAAUAUUCACAACUUCAGAUGUAAGUUACUCUAAAGCAGUUUAUCAGAGAACUAUCUUUUUUCACCUUUUAUUUUGAUCAGAAAAAGAAAAAAACUUCUAAAUUUGUUCUUUGUGUUUCUUUAAAUCAUAAAUGAUAGAAGAACUAACUUCACACAAGACAUACAUGUCACACAUUUAUUUAACUUUUCAAACAGCUCCAUAUUUUCCAGCAUUGACAAUGAUUUGUGCUUAUGUUUUUCUACUUCCAUUGUGGCUUGUAAAGUGUCUUAAAAGAAAAAGUCUUGCUAAAAUAAGAGUGAAAGGAACAAAUCACAGACAAUUCAAUUGAUGCAAAUGAGGGCUUUGCAACAUGAUGAAGGCAUUGUGUAACUUAGCAUAUCAUCUAUGAGGAAUGUUUUAUUUGAUCUGCAUUAAUUAGGAAAAAGGUUGAAAACAAGCCCCUUUUAAAAAGAUUAAGGUGGUAAAUUUCAUGUGGUAAAACCAGGGUUUAGCUGUGUAGAUUCUGAAAAUAAUACCAGUUAUAUAAAUGACUAUUUGCACAAUAGCAUCUUAUUCUUUGUUAGAAGAAUAACCAUGAAUCAUAUGUGAAUAUAUGCCAUUUGAUAUAUGUCAUAUAUAUAUAUAUAUAUAUAUAUAUACACACGUACACCAUAUAUAUAUAUGUGUGUGUGUGUAUAUAUAUGUUAAGAAUAAAGGGUAAAUCCCACUUUGGUCAUGAAUGACCACGGAGUUGCACCUAGAAAGUUACCCUGUGAGGUACAAGUCUGGACAAAGUUGUUUAUGGAAGACCAGCAGUCACCCAGGCAUACCAGCCCCACCUCUUAAUGCUACCAAUGUUAUCCAAGGAAAAGGCUAAGGCCAACACAACUUGGUACCAGUGAUGUCGCAACUCAUUUCUAUGGCUGAGUGAACUGGAGCAAUGUGAAAUAAAGUGACUUGCUCAAGAACACAACACACAGCCCAGUCUGGGAAUCAAACUCACUACUUCAUGAUUGUGAACAUGAUGCGCUAACCACUGAGCCAUGCACUUAUAUAUAUAGUUGAAAUUUACAGAAAAACAAAAUAUGAAGGCAGGUGUAUAAACAACAAACAGGUGUAUUAGUUUGACGCUUGGAAAGGUGAGAAAGUCUUUUAUGUUUUGAGCCUAUGCUCUUCAACAGAAAGGAAAAUGAGGAAAUAAACAGAGAGAGAAUAAAAAACUUGUGGAUUUAGCAAUGUGAUGGGUAAAUUAUUGCCAUUUUAUAUUUUUAAUUUUGUGCAUGUGCAUUGUUUGUUUUUGAUUUUGUCAACUACACAGUAUAGUUGGGUCAGUUGGGUACUGUUUGUGUGAAAAACAGCACCAUGAUGCAAUUCACAGUCAGAAAUUUAGAAAUGACAUGCUGUACUGCUUGGCAUUCACUUCAGAAACUCCAAUUACGAAUAUUUCAGAGUGUUUGGGUGUCAAUCUGAGGACAGUGCAGAGGAUUUGGAAAGAGUUGGAUGAGUCUAAUGGUGAUUACGAGGGUACAGCAGCUCAGAAAACUCACUCUAAUCAUUCUGAUAAGAAAAGAACUCCUGAAUUUUCAGUGAGAUCCAGGCCAUGAUUGACAACAAUCCCUCCAAGUCAAUCUGGUCCAUCACCAGGGACAGGGGAGUGUCUGAGUUUCUUAUCAAGCAGGUAGUGCAUGAAGACAUUCAGUAUUCCUCCUACAAGAUGACAAAAGGCCAAUUUUUAUCCCAAGCCAUCAAGGACAAGAGGAAAGACAAAGCUACAAAGCUUUUGAACAAAGAUGAACUGAAAGCAAGGGUUAUGGCAGCAUUCACAAUACUUAAACAAGGAGACUAUCCAGAAGAGCUGCAGGAGAUUCCAAAGUCAUCUGGAGGCCGUGAUUGAAGCCAAUGGUGAUUUCAUUGAAUAAAUUUACUCUUUAGUAUUUCAAGAUAUUUCUAUGUAAUUUUGGUAAAUAUAUCUGUUAAAAUGAGA